ACUGGCACCUACUGGGCCCCAAACUUCCGUGGAAGGCAGGCACCCUUGCCUUUAGCAAUCUGCCUGGCUAAGCCUAAUGACCCAGGAAUAGCAAUGCUAUGUGCUGAAUUGCCGAAUUUCACCCCCAGCGGCUCACAUCUGCCUGAAGCCCUUAUUGACCGCAGGAGAACAUGGCCAGGAUGUUGAUGUCGCAGAACUGCGAGCGGCGCCACUGCCGGCGCGUCUUGAUACCCACCUUGUGCAGCUUGUCAAAAAUGAAGUUGCUCUUGCGGAAGAUGAAGAGGUGGAUGAGGUUGACCAGGAUGAUGAGGUUCAUGAAGCAGAGCAAUACGAUGUCCACACCCGCAAUGAUCCGCUGCAGCUGCACGGAGGGCAGCUUACAGCUGACGCGCACCGUGGGCCCGGCGCUACCCACCGGCCCGUCAGGCGAGGCGCCCAGGGCGCAGGUGAACUCGUUCUGCUUCUGGGUGGCGUAGUAUGUGCAUAGGUAAGAGAUGGGCACCACACUGAGUAGCAGGAUCAGUACGUGCCGCGCCAAGUACAGCUUGGCCAAGAAGUUGCUGCGGCCCCGGCGCUCCAGGUACUUCUCAAACAAAUUCUGCUCAGGGCUCUUCUCCUUCUCAGCGUUCUCAAUGAUUUCCCGCUUCUCGCGCUCCGUGAUGCCUGGCCCCUUGGACUGGAUCUGCUUCUCAAUCUUGGGGGCGCGACCUUCGGCGGCUCGGUGGUAGCAGUUGUCGAUCUCCUGAAGCAGGAAGUUGAGCUCGGAGGUGAAGAUGUAGAACUCAGCUCCUCCUGCACCAUGCCUGUCUGGAUGCUGCCAUGCUCCUGCCUUGAUGAUAAUGGACUGAACCUCUGAACCUCUGAUACCUAAAGUCACAGAAGUGUAAGUGGCCUUCUCUCAGGAAAUUUGAUUCCCACCCUGAAUCAAGCCCAUCCCUACCUGCCCAGCCAAGCUGAAAAACUAGGUAAGAGGAGAGAAUCCCCAUAUUCCCAUGGGCACCUUCAGUGGGGCCCGACCUCCUCCUUGGUCACAUGGUACUUCUGAUGACAUGGCAGAUACCAAAGGACCUAGAGAGGGGCAGGUGUUUAAGCGCGGGUGGCUACCAUAGGGUGCUGAUGCUGUAGACUUGUGCUGAGCCUAAACUAGGCAGGAUGGCAGGUACCCGGACCCUGGAUGCCCUGCCCAGACACAGUGUCUGCCUGGAGCUCUUCUGUCUGAGGCCCCUGUCUUGGGAUUUCCCAAGGGUGAUGAGUUCUUGUCUAGGUGAGUACAGGUACUUGAGGAGGGGACCUGAAAGCUGACCCAUCUCAGUGCACAUGGGGCUAGCUCUGCAGAGUGCUGUUGGAAGGUGUUUUCCCCACAGGACAGGACAGUUUAGACCUGCGCUGCUGGGCACCUGACUGCUCAUGAGAGCAAAUGGAGAGCUCUAGCCAAGGAACUUACUAAGCCGAGACUGCUGUCACAGUGGCAGCAGGGAAGUCGAUGGCAGUAGCCACAGGACACUGCUGCAGCCUCCAGUCAGAGCAGGUCUGAACAGUAAAAGCACAGACCCAAAGGGUUUUUACUUCAACUUCUGCCCAGGGCUGGAGCUGAACUUGAGCCCUAGACACAUCUCUAAUCCACCCCAUGGGUCCAGCCGGCACACAGUCCAGCUCAAGCCUGUGGCCUCUCGCUAGCUCACAGCCAGCUCCGCUCUCAGCUCUCCUUGCCCCAGGUCAGGACCAAACUCUUCCCCAACUCCUUCAUGAUGGAAUGACAGCUCCACAUCCUGACUUCUGGACCUUGUGACUGCAGCUGGGAUUGAGGACUUAAUGGGAGACGAUUCUGGAUUAUCUGAGUGGGACAAGGGAACACAAGGGUCCCUUUCGAAGGAAGGUAGUGAUGGAUAGAGAAGGCCUGAGCCAAAUGUCACGCUGUAGUUCGGUCCUGAAGGUACACACAGACGUGCUACUGGAAGCUCCCUCUGGACCAGUUCUGCCUAUAGCUUGCCCAUCUCGUAGUCAGGCUUGGGGGCAAGCAUCUUUGUUUGUCCAGCUAUUGCACCAGCUUUGUUUGCUUGCUUUUCAGCCUGUGAAAGGUGGUGGGGAUCAACCUAGGACCUCUAGAAUGCUAAGCAAGCAUGCUGCCGCCAAGCCACACCCUAGUCCUGAACAUUGUUUAGAGCCAGAGUUUGUGCUAGUCUGUUCCAGGAGUGUGGGCAGAUAACAGGUGGCCCUGGCUUCUUACGAGCUGCCUGUCUCAUGUGUGUAUGUGCGUGGGGGGAGCACUCCAUCCCGAUACCUCCUGCAGUGGUAUGGGUGGAUGCUUCAGAGUGCUGCAGGCCUUGAAGGGAUGGGGACCCAUGCCUGGGACAAAGGGUUGACUUUCAGGGACCACAAUAAAAAAGGAGAUGGGCUGGUAUCUGACUGCCUUCACUUCUCACAGACCCACCCUACAGAUCUGUCCUGCUGGGUGGGAAGGGACAGCAGCUGGGGGCAGGACCCACCUAUGCUCCUCAGUAUAGAGCACUUUGGCUUUCCUUCCUUAAGGAAAGAGUACUGAGAGGGGACACACACUGGGUAACACCCAACUUCUGUGAGCUGGACGCCCACAUCCAGGUGAUAUCCAGAAAUAUCCCCAAGUACAUGGGACCUGAUCAUUUGACUAUUUUAGAAAAAGCCGUUGCUGGCCUCCCAGCCUGGGUCUGAGAGAUCUGGAGGCUCUUUGCCUCUUUCCCCUUCCCCCACUUCUGGCCUUUGUGUCCUGACUCCCCACUCCUGCCUGAGUGGCAGGAGAAUUAUUUCACAGCAGCCCUGGCUCCAUCAACAGCCGGUCUCUGGAAAGGAGUCAUCCGAGGUUUUCUUGGGCCACCCCUAAAACUUGAACUCUACCUUUAGAUCUGCUGGGUGGAGAUCACCAGGGCUCAGGGGCGGGGGAAUGUAGCAUAACCCACGAUAGAAGGGCAGGCUCCUUCUUCAAGGGUAUCCACACAGCAACCUCUUCUGACAUUCAGGAUUCAAUGCCCCUAUAGGCAGGACCCAGGUGUAUGCAGAAAAGGAGGGGUCGUUGGUCACAAUGGUCACAGUAUUAGAAGUGGGGUGGUUGGCUUAAAACAGCAGACAUGUACCUCACACACCUGAAGGCCAGAAGACCAAAAUCUUUCAGGCAGGCAGUCACCAACUGAGAGCCCUGGCACAGGGUCCUAGAUAUCUCUGUCCUUCCUUCCUUCUAUACGUUCACCAAGUGGUCCCCAAGAAAUGAUGGGGCCUUGGGAGAAGGGGUAAGGCUGACUGUUCCCUUUCUCUCCCUCCUGAGCAGGCUUACUGGUCAAGCAUAGGGCCUUGUCUGUGCUGUGUAGGGCCUUGUCUGUGCUGUGUAGGCCCUAGGACCCCUCCUCACCUUGAGGUAGGCUUAACUCAGCAUGGGUAGGAGGACAUGUGGGUCUGAGGAGGGCACCUGAAGUUCUGUGGGAAAGCACAGGGGGUUUGAAGCAGCAGGUCCAGGAUCAGGGCUAACUUGGGGGGACGUCUUGGUGGUUCCAGGCCCAGGUAGAUGCAGGGUAUUUGGAGGUCUCACAGGUGACAAGCUGGGUUGGCAGUGUCUGAGAUGAUCAAGGGAUCAUCGAAGAUGGCCCAGUCCACGUGUAUACCCACACCUGAGGCUGCCUUACUGUGUCUGUCAUAGAGAGAGCUGUGUUCUCCUUAAUGUCUGCUGUUGUCCUAGCCCUGUACUUGUGGACUGACAGAAGCAGCCUUUGUAGAUGUAAAUGAACUGAGAGUAGAGUAGAGUAGAACAAUCCCAACCUUAUGAUAUACUUGUGACUCUAGGGAGGGACACAGGCGUGGGGAAAUCCCCAACAGAGGACAGACACAGAGCUUGGGUGGUGUAGCCAUAGGCCAAGGAAUAUCAGGGAAGGACUGCUGCUAGCUACCACUCCUCAGAAUGAAAUGGCCUUUGAGAGAACUCAGCCCUCCCUAAACCUACAUUUUGGACUUCUGGCUCCUGGAACUGUAGGGUACGUGUCUUGUAAGGUAGUCACCCGUUGCUGGUACUGUGAUCAGCAUGGCCAAAGGCCUCUUUAUGCACACACCUGGG